rnacentral:rRNA from 1 species
GAUGAACGCUAGCGACAGGCCUAACACAUGCAAGUCGAGGGGCAGCACAUGAGUAGCAAUACGAUGGUGGCGACCGGCGCACGGGUGAGUAACACGUAUGCAACCUGCCUGUAAGAGGGGGAUAACCCGGAGAAAUUCGGACUAAUACCGCAUAAUACCACGAGACUGCAUGGUUUUGUGGUUAAACAUUUAUGGCUUACAGAUGGGCAUGCGUAUGAUUAGAUAGUUGGUAGGGUAACGGCCUACCAAGUCUACGAUCAUUAGGGGUUCUGAGAGGAAGGUCCCCCACACUGGUACUGAGACACGGACCAGACUCCUACGGGAGGCAGCAGUGAGGAAUAUUGGUCAAUGGGCGAGAGCCUGAACCAGCCAAGUCGCGUGAAGGAAGAAGGUUCUAUGGAUUGUAAACUUCUUUUGCAGGGGAAUAAAGGACGGUACGUGUACUGUUUUGUAUGUACCUUGCGAAUAAGGAUCGGCUAACUCCGUGCCAGCAGCC